CUUCAAUCUGCAAUGCACGAAAGAUUCUACACCAAGCAGGAGAGCCGCGCUUUCUCUCUUAGAGCCUACCGCUGCCUCUGCAUUAUUUCGGGGUGCAGUGAAACCUUGGCAGUCAUUUCUAAAUGCCCACCUGCCCUGCAGGUUAUGUUCAUAUCACCCUGAGAGUGGCUGAUUUGUCCCUAGGAUUUGAUCCUGGCACACAGCCAGACUCCAGCUUCUUUCUGAUCACAGACUCAAAAGGAAAGCCCCUCCUUGGGGCAGGUGUUGUGGUUCAGCUAGUUGGGCCACCUCUGGGGAGGUCUGUACCCCGUCCCACAGUGCCUGGGUUCGAGUCCUGCCUCUGCUUCCAAUUCAGCCUCCUCUUAAUGUGCCUGGCAGGCAGCACGUGAUGACUCUGGGACGUGGACUCCUAUCACUCACGUGGGACGGGGGAUGGAGUUCCUGGCUCCUGGCUGUGGCCUGGCCUAGCCCUGACUGUUGCAGGCAUCUGUGGAGUGAACCAAGGAAUGGAAGAUUCUCUCUCUCUCUCUCUCUCUCUCUCUCUCUCUCUCUCUCUCUCCCUCUCUUCAUCCUUCACUUCCUCAUUCCCUCCCUCUUUCUGUCACUCUUUCAAAUAGACUUCAAAAACUAAUUUUUUUUUUUAAAUCUACAAACCCAUUUCAUUUAAACACUUUUAGGAGUGACGUAUACCAUCCGUCUGACCAGUGUUCUCUGUGUGUGGGAGCUAAUUAGGUUUAGGUGAGGCCCUGAGACAGGGGCCCCCACGAUGGGAGUGGUGGCCUUCGAAGAGCAGGAGGAGACUAGAGUGCCCUCUGCUGGCCACGUGAGGAUACAGGCUGAAAGCCCAGAAGCAGAGUCUCCAACAGAUCUGGGGUGGGCGUCAGCCUCUAGAACUGCAAGCAAUGUUUGUUGUUUAAACCACCAAGACUAUGCUACUUUUGCCACAGAAGCCUGAACUAAGACACUUAUACAUAGACUAUAACAAAGUUAUAUUCUAACUUUGGUUUUAACUUUCUGGAAUUUAGAGCAUGAAUAACUACAAAAUACAACGUUCUUGUUGAUUUCAGUUCAUUUGUAGGCAUAUACAUAGAUUUCCCACUGUGAUUUUUCCCAAUGACUGUAAUAUCCCCUUAAUAUCUUUUUAUUCAGCCAACACGGGGAUAUUUUUACUGCCCCGGGAUGCUGAAGUGUAAAAUGUACUGAGCUCAGAAAGGACCACUGCCCGCAGAAAGUGCCGGAUUGUUAGCCUGCCCUCCCAGCUGCACGUGCAUAGUCACGCGGCAAUCCGAACACUGAGACAGGUGUGGCCAAUGUAAAUGCCGGCUAGUGUCCAGGGUCCCAGAGCACACACCUGGCUCCUCGCCUUCCUGAAUCCUGGAGGCAUCGCACUGGAGGACACCUGCCACGUACUCCGCACCCUUCUCCUCCUCCGAGCUGGAACCUUUUCCGAUCCAGAUGUAGCCGUUGUUUUGUUGCAGUUUCAGGACAAAAACGUCGUUGGAAUUCAAUGAACUCGCAUCAACAUCAACCUAGAGUAUAUCAGAAAAACACACAAUGGUUCAAAUUCUUUGCUGCUCUUUCAAUAUAUGUAUUGAAGUUAGAAGUUGCGACUGUGACAAACCAUCCACAGCCUUCUGCUCUAUUACAAGAAAUCAGUUCGCUGCAGCAAGGGACACCAGCAUGGUGUUUGAAACACUGGGGCAGGGUCUGCGUCGUUUUAAUUCUCAGCUGACCUCAGAGAGUAGCACAAGGCUCUAAGAGCAAAAUUAGUCAAGCACGGCUGGCGCUGUGGCGCAGCGGGUUAAGCUGCCGCCUGCAAUGCCGGCAUCCUAUAUGGGCUCCGGUUCGAGUCCUGGCUGUUCCAUGUCCGAUCCAGCUCUCUGCUAGGCCUGGGAACACAGUGGAAGAUGGCCCAAGUCCUUGGGCCCCUGCCACCCACAUAGGAGACACAGAUGGAGUUCCAGGCUCCUGGCUUUGGCCUGGCCCAGCCCUGGCAAGUGUGGCUGUUUGGUGAAAGGUAAAAGAACCAGCAGAUGGAAGAUCUCUCUCUCUCUCUCUCUCUCUAACUCUGCUUUUCAAACAAAGAAGGUCAAACCUUUAAAACUUAGUUAAAUGAUAAGUGGAAAAGUAAGGAGGACAGCACGCGUGGGCUGGAACCCACGACCUGGAAGAGGGCGUAGCAUUCGCGAAGGACGCACAUGAAGCAAGAUGCUGUCUGGUUCUUGUGUGGAAAAGAGAUGUUUUCAAACAAUCACAGGGAAAUCUAAAAAAAAAAAAAAUCAUAAAACGUGGACUGAAGUCCAAUGGAAGCAGAGGAUAAUACCACAGAUUCCCGCAAAGGUUCCUCAGGUUUGGCUAAAUGAUAGCUCAAAUUAUGAAAGGCAUUGUGCAGGGGGUUAAGAACAAACCGUGACAACGGUUUUCUUCCAAUGGAGAAGCUGUGGACAUCACUUGGGGUCUGCCGGUGGAAUCCAGUGCUGCCCGUGUGGUUGCAGAGCCGUGACAGGGACCCAGCUGGCUGAGUGAGGCUGAAGGCAGCCCUUGGGAGCCAAGGAAAGACACGCACAGUCUCCUGCGGCUCCUGGGGAUUCUGUGGCUCUGUUUCUAGAACAUGUGUGACCACACACUUGUGUGCAAUGACUGGGGGGCACACUGCAGGGAGAGGAAGGAGAGCCGCUCUGCAAGGCUGAGUGGGAGGAGGAAAAGAUGACAGUGCCGAGGCAGUGAGGCCGGAAGUGAAGACGACGGCAGCGGGAUCGUGGUGCCCAAACAAGCUGCUUGGCUCACUGCACUGACAGCCAGGACUGCGCCAGUGGGAACGCCACAGGAAGAAAGACACAGGGCCCCGGGGUUGGUCACACUAGGGGAGGGGCUCACAGCCCUCCCAGGAGGACUGCGGCAUCUGAGAGCCUGUUCAGAGGCGUCUGGCAGGUGUGCUGAUGGGGAGGACGGGCCGCAGGUUGGGCUUGAGGCCUUCUGAUUUCUGGUCCACAGGUCUCCUUACUGAUCCAGAGGACAGAGCGGGAUGCAGGGGGAGAAGUGGCCCAGAGAUCCGUGCCCAGGCUAGCAUGAGAUCAGGGAGGAAGAUCUAAAAUGGAACCUUUAUAAAGCUCUGGCCUGCAGGGGAUGAAAACAGGCUCUUUAUAAAAAUGAGGUUGACUCAUGCAUUUCAGAGAGGCUGCAAGGAAAUACGGCUUGCAAGCAACUGAUGACGUCCCCUAGAGACGCCCACAGAGGAAGGUUCAGGACAGUGCGCUCUGGCUAGCUCCUGCACCUGAAAUCACCCGAGCGCCCACAGAUGAGAGCUUAACUGUCGAGUGCAGAGUAGAAAGAAACAGGAUUAGACAAUGGAGAAUCUAUGCACAGAACGUUUGGGAUGAGAUGAAUACUUCCACUGCCGUUUAAGACACCUGCCUGAAUGAAAUCAGUAUGAAGAGGGUCAAGACCGAGCCCUGGAACAGCCAAGCACAUCCACGGCUUGCAGACCAGAGGACCCAGCCAAGCUGCCCCGCAGGGCUGGCCCGGAGGUUUGCAGGAAAUCCUGGGGAGUGUGGUGUUACACUCCGUUCACCGAGGCAGGAAAGGUCGACUGUGCCAAGCCUUGGUGGGCAGUUAAGAGGAAUGAGGUCAGAGAAGCAACUUUUGAUGGUGGUUAAGAGGCGAGUCAUUGGCCAACCAGAGAAAACCGGCCUCGGUGGAGUGGUGGGAGUCAACAGCUGAACUGGAGCAGCAGCAGACAGAAGGGGCUUAGGAAAGUAGACAGUGAGUGAGCGAGGUCGACUCUCAAGGAUCUGUGCUCCCAAGAUGGGUGGAAAAUGACAUGGUGACUGGGGAUGGCUGAGGUCAAGGGCAGGAGACAGUGAUGCAGUCGCACGCAGGACAGAAGAAUAAGUCCACGCCGCAUAAGAGAAAGACGCGUAUUGCCUUCAUCAGGAUGAACUGACGUGGGAUAAAUGUAUGCAAAAGACAGAAUCCCAGGAAAGACCUUAGGAAAGCAAGAGAGGAGGAGAUCCAGGAAAGAAGCUGGUGGUGGGCGGUGGGGGUAGGUGGGUAGAAUUUGGCUUUUGAGAGAAGCUGUAUUUUUUAUUCCAUGUAAUAAACAUUUAUUAUUUAUGGGUGUAUCUCUUUAUAUAAGUAUAUUAUUACUAAUUUCUGGCUAAUAUAUUGAUGUUAAUGUCUAAAAUAUUCAUUAUCUAUAUGUAUAAAUUCCUAAUAUAGGGCCGGUGCCGCAGCUCAAUAGGCUAAUCCUCCGCCUAGCGGUGCCGGCACACCGGGUUCUAGUCCCGGUCAGGGCGCCGGAUUCUGUCCCGGUUGCUCCUCUUCCAGUCCAGCUCUCUGCUGUGGCCCAGGAGUGCAGUGGAGGAUGGCCCAAGUACUUGGGCCCUGCACCCCAUGGGAGACCAGGAGAAGCACCUGGCUCCUGGCUCCUGCCAUCGGAUCAGCGCAGUGCGCCGGCCACAGCGGCCAUUGGAGGGUGAACCAACGGCAAAGGAAGGCCUCUCUGUCUCUCUCUCUCUUACUGUCCAUUCUGCCUGUCAAAAAUUAAAAAAAAAAUCCCUAAUAUAAAAUAUAUACUAAUUUUUAAAUAUAAAUUAUAGUUUUAAAUUUAUUUUGUACAACAAGGGGGAAAGGGAGUGUAGUACUGUACAGAUUCCUACAAGCUGGUGGCAUGGCAGGGGAGCAGGUGAGGUGACUCCUGUGAGAGUCUGUUCCUGUCCUCUGAAUUAUGAAUCAGUUACCUGCAGGCAGCAGGGGUGCUGCGAGCUGGAGAAGGGGAGGGGAAGGGCAUGAUGGUGUGGGGAGGAGAAGUUUCUUAGCUUCAGCUGCAGGUGCAGAAUUUCUGGACUGUGUGUGCUGGGCACAGUAGCCAAGGAAAAGGAGAGGGCUGUCAGAAAUCAGAUGACCUAUUUCAUAGGAGCCGUAACUAUCGCUAGAGGCCGAAUUUAGCACAGGACCACGCGAGAGCGUGAUGGAAUGAGGUCAAGGAAAACUGCUGGAGGAGAGAAGGCAGAGAGAUGGAGAAAGUGAGACGAUGGCGGAAGUCAUCAAAGAACAAGCGGGCAAGGACCAGGAGCUCCGUAGAUUGCAGCACCUGAGAGUGGGGGCACAGCUGGACAAGCAGGAGAUGCACCAAAGAGGCAAGGGUGGGAGAGGAGGGCAGCUGUCCAGCUCCGCACCUGUCACCACGAUGCUAAGUGGGCAGGGAGGGAAACCACGCCUUCCACGGGAAGGGGCUGUAUGCAAAUCUGUGCCUGCUACCCCUAAUCCAUCUACCCCAGCCAGGCCUUUCCAGAGAGAGCGAAAGCUGCCUCAUGUCCUGGACAGCUUGUUUUGUUAAUCUUAGAACUCAUUUGUUUGGAUUUGAAGUCACUUUAAUAUGAGAUGCCCAGUAUCUGGAGUUCAACUUUUAUUCAACUGUUCUUGGGGUUUUUCUUUUUUCUCUUGUGAACAGUGGAUAAUUUGACUCAGGUCUGCUGGGAAGUCUACAACGAGGGCAUGUGUGACUGAUUGCGUAACAUUACCUCCAUAAUUCUGGUGAUAGAGGCCAGAUUUCUCCGGACUUGAAAGAGGCGAACAGGGGCAGCAGGUGCCUGACCUCCUUCCUUUGAUGUUCCAUUCUUGUAAAUAAUGAGGGGCUUUUCUUUGAAUAAACUCAGCAGGUGCGCAGGCUCUUUUCCUUGGGACACUCGGACCUGGGGGUGGAGGGGAGGUGAAUAAAAGAAAUAUAAUCCAGAGUGCAAUAAAAGAUGGCUGCAUGUCUAAA